GGCCUUGUAGUGAAGUUCAUGGUGAGUUGCAAGCUCGUCGAUGCGCAUUAAUCUGCGUCGAGGUCU
rnacentral:tRNA from 2 species